rnacentral:rRNA from 1 species
GACGACCGCUGGCGGCGUGCUUAACACAUGCAAGUCGAGCGAUGAAACACCUUCGGGUGCGGAUUAGCGGCGAACGGGUGAGGAACACGUGAGGAAUCUGCCUUCCACUCUGGGAUAACUCCGGGAAACCGGGGCUAAUACCGGAUACUUUCAACUGGCGGCAUCGCCGGUUGAAGACAGUUUUUCGGUGGAAGAUGACCGCGCGGCCUAUCAGCUUGUUGGUGAGGUAAAGGCUCACCAAGGCGACGACGGGUAGCCGCCCUGGGAGGGCGAACCGCAACACUGGGACUGAGACAAGACCAAGACACCAACUGGAGGAAGCAGUGGGGACUAUUGGGCAAUGGAGUAAACUUUGACGCAGCGACGCCGCGUGAGGGAUGAAGGCCAUCGGGUUGUAAACAACUUUCAGCAGGGAAUAAGCGAAAGUGUGGGUACCGGCAGAAGAAGCGCCGGCUAACUAUGUGCCGGCCGCCGCCGUAA